AGCUUUGUGCAGUGGCCAUUUCAUAGCCAGUGAAGUUUAUCUGAGGCAGUUGCUAAUUGAAAACUUUUCUUUUUUUUUUUGAGACGGAGUCUCACUCUGUCGCCCAGGCUGGAUGGAGUGCAGUGGCGCAAUCUUGGCUCACUGC
rnacentral:snRNA from 1 species